AAGGUCAGGCUGAAGACCUUACCCGAUUAGCUGAGAGGUGGUGCAUGGCCGUCGUCAGUUCGUACUGUGAAGCAUCCUGUUAAGUCAGGCAACGAGCGAGACCCACGUCCACAGUUGCCAGCAUACCCUCCGGGGUGAGUGGGUACACUGUGGAGACCGCCGCUGCUAAAGCGGAGGAAGGAGUGGGCAACGGUAGGUCAGUAUGCCCCGAAUCUCCCGGGCUACACGCGGGCUACAAUGGUUGGUACAAUGGGCAUCUACCCCGAAAGGGGAAGGAAAUCUCUUAAAGCCAAUCGUAGUUCGGAUUGAGGGCUGCAACUCGCCCUCAUGAAGCUGGAAUCCGUAGUAAUCGCGUUUCAACAGAACGCGGUGAAUACGUCCCUGCUCCUU
rnacentral:rRNA from 1 species